ensembl:lncRNA
UUAUGACCCAUGAGGACCUCAGUACAGCACCCCAACCUAAAGGAUGAGGAAUCUCCCGAUUCUGGAGCAGACCUACCUCCCCUUCCUUAAUCAUCAGAAGCUCCUCUACAGUAUCCCUGUACUAUCACUCGUUCCUUCCCAUCCUCUGCUUCUUAGAGUAUGUCCGCUCCUUCUUUCAUGGUGUUCCUUAAGCCUUAUAGGGGGUUGAUGUAGCUGUCCCACAUCGGGCUGAGCACUCAGGAAUCACUUUUUCUCAGCCCUUUGGUUUUUUGAGUCUCUGAAUUAACUUCAGCCCACUGCAGAAGCUGAGAGCACCACAGAUCUAUGGUUAUGAAUGCCCAGCAACCAUUAGGCAAAACGUAAAGACCCAAGGCAGAAGGCUGGAAGGGAAGCAGAUGCUUGCACGAUGGGCUGAGCCAUUCUGAACUGCUGUUCCCACCUGUAUGACUCCUGCAUACUGACUGUUAAACAUCCCCAGCCUCAAAAGUUCAGAAGUACGGGUGCAUGUUUCAUAACCUGGAAGGACAUCCACGGCAAAUCACCAAGGGAUAGAAAGGUUUCUAAGUAAUAUGAAAGACAAGAAUCUGGGGGCAGCAAAGCUGGGUUCUCUGAUGCAGGGUUCUCUCUGGAGACAACUGUGCAAACAUUGACAGGAAUUACAAGUCACCUGAGACCCGAUGGGAAGACAACCCACUCCAUGGUGGCUGACUCAGCGGUUCCCGGGAACUUUGCUCCUCGACAUGUGGACCUGACCAUUGGUUACUUCCUCACAACACAGAAGCUGGCUUCUUCCAGAGCAGGCAAUGUAAGGAUAGAAAGGAAGGUGAACGCAGUGUCCUCUGUGACCUAAUUUCUGAAAUUACAGACUGUCGCUGUCACUUUACUGUUGGAAGUCACUGAGGCCUGUCUACUCAGGUGUGGGGCACUGAACACCACUUCUUGGAAAGCAGAGUCUGAAAGCACUUGUGAGCUGUCACAGGAGCCAUGACAGAGACCUGAGGUCCCCAACACCUUUGGUCUUCCUAAAGGGACCACGGCCUAUCUGGAAGAAGUGCCACGUGGCUGGACAGCUCAUCUGUGUGGUGCUGGGGAGAAUCUGGGGAUUUGGGCAUGCCUGGAAGGGGCUCUCCCAGUGACAUCUCCAGCACCUGUAUCUUGGUCUAUACAGAAACUGCCUUCUCCCACUACGAGAUCAAUGAACUUAGAAAUCUCUAUCUACACAACACCCUACUUUCAAGACCAUUGCCCAACAAGGAGUUAUCUUGGAGAUUUAAAAUAAACAAUAGUUUCCCUUUUGAGGUGCUUCCUGACCUCUCUGAAACACUAACACCCCUUUGCUUACUGAGAGGAGAGCACAAAUGAACACAAUGUGGAUAUUCAUCCAAAACACACUCGUUCUGUCCCCUUGGAACACGUAAGGCGUUUUCUCAGAAAUGGCCUCGUCGCCAUCAACCCUCUCUGGGGAGCACCAGCAUCUUGCCUGUUAACUGCACCUCCCUCUCUUCCUUCAGAACUCAAUCCCAAAUGCUCAGUUUUCCCUUUUUGGACAGCUCAGUUUGGACCCACUCUUCUGGCUUUGAACUUAGCAAUUUUUCCAGACUGUGACCUCCAGUCUUUAA